UUUUAUGAAUAAGGUAAUGUGAGAGUUUGUUUUAUGAAUAAGGUAAUGUGGGAGUUUGUUUUAUGAAUAAGAAAUUGUGGGAGUUUGUUUUAUAAAUAAGUAAAUGUGGGAAUUGUGGUUUGGAAUGAAAAUAAAGAUGGGGUUUGGAAUAUAUGAAGUAGAAGAUAAGGAAUAUGGGGUUUUGGGGUUUGGGGUUUCGGAUUUUAGGGAUUAAACGUAAUACUCGUUAAUUCCUCGUAAGUUGACGUCGAAUGUACGACGUAAUCCUCGUUUAUUCCACGUAGGACAGAAUCGUCGUAAAGACCUCGUUAUCUUACGUGGAAAUAACGACGAAACUAAAAAAAAUAAAGAAAGCGAAACCCGUUAAUUCCACGUAGGACGGAAUCGUCGUAAAGACCUCGUAAGGUAAAUAGACGUAAAUACCACGUAAAGUAAAUGACGAAGGAGGCACUCUUUAAUUCCACGUAGGAUGAUUUCGUCGUAAACACCUCGUAAAAAAAAUCGUCGUAAAAACCUCGUAGAAUAAAAACUAGAAAAAAAAAGGAAAAGAAGAGAGACACCAGAUUUAUAUGUAGCAAGACUUCCAGCAAUUAUAAUACUUAAGUCUCGCCCACAUAAAUUCUAAUAUCUUCUUCUCUUUCUUUUUUUCCAAAUAUUUCUAAUUUGGUGAAAAGCGGGACUAGCU
rnacentral:lncRNA from 1 species